UGUUUUCAAUGCGUCCCAGAUAUGA
rnacentral:piRNA from 1 species